rnacentral:rRNA from 1 species
UGCAGAAUCCCGUGAACCAUCGAGUCUUUGAACGCAAGUUGCGCCCGAAGCCUUCUGGCCAAGGGCACGUCUGCCUGGGUGUCACACAUCGUCGCCCCCAAACCCAGUACCUCUUCGGGGGUACUCGGGACGAGGACGGGCGGAUAAUGGUCUCCCGUGCGCACCCGCUCGCGGUUGGCCCAAAUAGUAGUUCCUGGCGAUCGCAAGCCACGACCAGCGGUGGUUGAAAUACCCUCGACGGGAGUCGUGAGCACCUGCCUCGCAAGUUGGGACAUGCCGACCCUGAACGUGUUUGGUGAUCCGAACACUCACCGAGUGACCCCAGGUCAGGCGGGACUACCCGCUGAGUUUAAGCAUAUCAAUAAGCGGAGGAAAAGAAACUAACAAGGAUUCCCCUAGUAACGGCGAGCGAACCGGGAAAUGCCCAGCUUGAAAAUCGGACGCCCCGGGCGUUCGA